rnacentral:rRNA from 1 species
UAAGGAUACUGCCAGUGACAAACUGGAGGAAGGCGGGGACGACGUCAGGUCAUCAUGGCCCUUACGGCCAGGGCUACACACGUGCUACAAUGGUCGGUACAAAGGGUUGCUACACAGCGAUGUGAUGCUAAUCUCAAAAAGCCGAUCGUAGUCCGGAUUGGAGUCUGCAACUCGACUCCAUGAAGUCGGAAUCGCUAGUAAUCGCGGAUCAGAAUGCCGCGGUGAAUACGUUCCCGGGCCUUGUACACACCGCCCGUCACACCAUGGGAGUUUGUUGCACCAGAAGUAGCUAGCCUAA